UUCCUCUUCUUUGCCUUUCUUCUGUUUCCCUUUCCAAUUUCCAAGAGGCACAUAACCCAUGUUCUUGUUCUGUACAGAAUAUAUUCUCUGAGUGACUUGUAUGCUAAAGGGUGUUAUGCUAAAGGGUGUUAUGCUAUCUAAUCUCAGUACAAUUAUAUAUGAGUUUGCUAUCAUGUGCCCAGUCUUACUUUCAGAGUGUUCUCUAAAGCUGUUGUUACGUUUACAAAUUAAGGAGUCAGGGAAUUGUUAUUGCACUACUAUGUUCUAAAGGUGGACAAAACAGAUGGAAGAUUGAUGCUGGCAUUAUGCAUGAGCCACGAGGUAUAAUUCAUGGGAGAUAAUCAUGUUGGAGCAGAAUAAGACUACUAUGGGUUAACACAGCUGCAUGACUUCUGACUAAGGUGGAACAAUCCCACAGCAAUUAAUACCUUUGCUUGAUGGUGUGCGCUUGCACCAUUAGUUAAGAAUAAGCAAUAACAUCUAAAAUUGUCUUUC